GGAGGCUGAGGCUGAGGCAGGAGAAUCACUUGAACUGGAGGCGAGCUAUGGGAAGCACUGGGAUGAGAGCAGCAACAAGAGGCAUCUCCGUGUCAGCCAGACCUUCAAGAAUGACUCGGGGCCCUCCCUGAGCAAUCACUUCAUGGAGGUAAGCCCGGCCACUGCAGCAGAGUCAUGCCCU